rnacentral:rRNA from 1 species
UACGUAGGGUGCGAGCGUUGUCCGGAAUUAUUGGGCGUAAAGAGCUUGUAGGCGGUUUGUCGCGUCUGCCGUGAAAAUUCGAGGCUCAACCUCGAACUUGCGGUGGGGUACGGGCAGACUAGAGUGUGGUAGGGGGAGACUGGAAUUCCUGGUGUAGCGGUGAAAUGCGCAGAUAUCAGGAGGAACACCCCGUAGCGAAGGCGGCACUCUGGGCCGAUACUGACACUGAGGAGCGAAAGCGUGGGGAGCGAACAGG